UACGUAGGGUGCAAGCGUUGUCCGGAAUUAUUGGGCGUAAAGAGCUCGUAGGCGGUCUGUCGCGUCUGCUGUGAAAACCUGGGGCUUAACCCCGGGCCUGCAGUGGGUACGGGCAGACUAGAGUGUGGUAGGGGGAGACUGGAAUUCCUGGUGUAGCGGUGAAAUGCGCAGAUAUCGGGAGGAACACCGGUGGCGAAGGCGGUUCUCUGGGCCUUACCUGACGCUGAGGAGCGAAAGCGUGGGGAGCGAACAGG
rnacentral:rRNA from 1 species